rnacentral:rRNA from 1 species
UACGAAGGGGGCUAGCGUUGCUCGGAAUCACUGGGCGUAAAGGGUGCGUAGGCGGGUCUUUAAGUCAGGGGUGAAAUCCUGGAGCUCAACUCCAGAACUGCCUUCGAUACUGGAGAGCUUGAGUCCGGGAGAGGUGAGUGGAACUGCGAGUGUAGAGGUGAAAUUCGUAGAUAUUCGCAAGAACACCAGUGGCGAAGGCGGCUCACUGGCCCGGUACUGACGCUGAGGUGCGAAAGCGUGGGGAGCAAACGGG